rnacentral:misc_RNA from 1 species
GCAAACUUGGUCAUUUAGAGGAAGUAAAAGUCGUAACAAGGUUUCCGUAGGUGAACCUGCGGAAGGAUCAUUAUCGAGUUUGGUGUCCUUCGGCACCCGCUCCACCCAUUGUGUACCUGUCUUGUUGCUUUGGCGGACCGGCGCCUGCUGCCCCCCCGGCUGCCGCUGGGGCGUGUCCGCCAGAGGCCCCCCUUGUAACUCUUGUGAAAUAUGCAAUCUGAGUACCUCCUUAAAAUCAAAACUUUCAACAACGGAUCUCUUGGUUCUGGCAUCGAUGAAGAACGCAGC